rnacentral:rRNA from 1 species
GACGAACGCUGGCGGCGUGCCUAAUACAUGCAAGUAGAACGCUGAAGGAAGGAGCUUGCUCUUUCCGGAUGAGUUGCGAACGGGUGAGUAACGCGUAGGUAACCUGCCUGGUAGCGGGGGAUAACUAUUGGAAACGAUAGCUAAUACCGCAUAACAGUAGAUGUUGCAUGAUAUCUACUUAAAAGGUGCAAUUGCACCACUACCAGAUGGACCUGCGUUGUAUUAGCUAGUUGGUGAGGUAACGGCUCACCAAGGCGACGAUACAUAGCCGACCUGAGAGGGUGAUCGGCCACACUGGGACUGAGACACGGCCCAGACGCCUACGGGAGGCAGCAGGAGGGAAUCUUCGGCAAUAGGCGGAAGGCUGAACGAGCAACGCCGCGUGAGUGAAGAAGGGUUUCGGGUCGUAAAGCUCUGUUGUAAGAGAAGAACGAGUGUGAGAGUGGAAAGUUCACACUGUGACGGUAUCUUACCAGAAAGGGACGGCUAACUACGUG